AUUGAAUGGCUCAGUGAGGCGUUCGGACUGGCCCAGGGAGGUCGGCAACGACCACCCAGGGCCGGAAAGUUCGUCAAACUUGGUCAUUUAGAGGAAGUAAAAGUCGUAACAAGGUCUCCGUAGGUGAACCUGCGGAGGGAUCAUUA
rnacentral:rRNA from 1 species